UAUAAUAAAAUUAAUAUAAAUUUCAAAAUUGAAAAAAUAACAAUUAAUAUCUAUACACUAAAAUCAAAUAUUUUUCUUAUCUUAGAAUAAAUAUAUCAUUAAAAAAAUCUAAAUAAGGAAACUUUUUAAUUUAAUAUCUCUAUAAAUUAAUAAAAAUUCAAAAUCCUAACAUUAUUAAUUUAUAGAGGUUUUACUGUAGUCAUUAAUGAUGAAGCAUAUUAUCUAGAAAGAAAAACGAUGGAUACUACAUUCAUAUUUGUAAAUGAUAUGACAAAACGUUGGCUUGUAUCCGAACCCUAAAGGAUUAAGACAUGAGGGAGCAACUAAUCCUUAUAACACUACUGGAAUGAUGACUCGGAGAUUGAAAAUUUAUAGUCUCUCUUAUCAACCACGUAGAAGGAAUGUUGAUCUAUACACUAGCAUAUCAUCAAAUAUUAUGCACCUAAUGAUCAUUAUACAUGUUGACAAUCACCAACUAAGAAUGAUAUAUCAAGUAUAAUACUAUAUAUUUGCUUUCCUAUAUGUCAACAUAUCGUAUAAGAAUUACUUUAGAUUGUUUUAGAUAUACAUAUAUAUAUAUAUAUAUCUGUGUGUGUGUGGACUAGGCAAUAUAUAUGGUUAAAAUGAAACUCAUGAGAUGAUAUUUUACAUAAAUUUUCUUAAACUCCACAAACUUUAAAUCAAUAAAAGGUCAUUGAUUGUAAUGGUGAUCUAAACAUACUAAUUAAUAUAUGAUUAUUAAUUUAACUAUAUGAUUAGAAGAUGGUUUGAGUAACAGCCGAAUCUAUACUAUUAAAAUAGAAUCACUUAAAAAUCUACUUACAAAAAAGGCAAUUCUCUCAAAUAUAUUUUUUUUUAAGUUUUUGUCACAAAAUAGCAAUGGAGUAAAAAAAAUAGUCUAUUUUUAUUUUAAAAUUUUUAAUAUAUAUAUUUUUAAAAAAAAUUGAAAUCAUAUCCCCAAAAUCCCAUCCUUUAAAUCUAAACCAUAAUUUUAAAUUAGUUAACCCUAAGAUAAAAAUGUAUUAUUACCUUUUAAUAAAACUUAUUUUGGUCGUUUUCGUCAGUCACUGAGAACUCUUUUGUGAAGAUAAACCAGAAAAAAAUAUCAUAGGAAAUUUCUCUAUAAAAAUCAUAGUUGGAUCAUUACAUUGAUUUAAUUUUCUAUUAUUUUUACAACAACUACCUUAGUUAUUAUUAAAUAUAAACCCUAGGCUAAAAUAAUGAGUAGCUCUUGAGUAACUCAUUAACCAAAUUUCCUAAUAGACAUAAAAUAUGGCAUUAUUUUCACUUAUCAAAUGGAAAUGAAUGAGUUUUCAGUAGAAAAUGAGUUUUCUCUGAAUGAUCUGACUUUACUUUUGGAUGUCUCGUUAAGGAUUUGGUGGUAAAAUUGGUCCAAGUAAUUUUCAUAAUAAAUGAAACACUGUAAUUAGAUGCCCAUAUAGUAUCUUAUCGCUUGCCUUUGAGAUGCGAUUAGCUAAAUUAUUUUCUGGUCCACACUUGGUCCUCCACCAAAUAAACGAGAAUAUUUAUAUUCUCUCCUCUCUUUCUACAAUUUCUUUGGAGUCUAUAUCAAGUACAAAUGCUUAAUACUUUUGGCUGUAGUUGAUAAACACAUUGUUUGAUCAAGAUUGUUGUUGAUAAUAUUAUUAUUAUAGCUGAAAGGUUUGUUAAGGCAUCUCAUUACUUUAGAAAACACGAUCAGGUUAUAGUGUACACACAUGUUGUUUUCUUCUAUAAGUUCGAAUAUUUGAUGUAACAACACUAGCAAUAUCGAUAAUAUUCGACAUAAUCAAGAUUAGUGUAAUUUGAAGGACUUGCUAGUCCGUACAUCUCUGAUCUCUUACGAAUUAUAACAUUUCCAGGAUUCGUAGUCUUAUAUUUGGUUUAUCUCUUUUAUUUUGUAAUCAACAGUUCGUAUGUGUUGUGUAUAAUGU